AUAAACACGACAAUAGAUUCAUAUUAAAUAGAAGAUAGAGAUUUAU
rnacentral:guide_RNA from 1 species